rnacentral:rRNA from 1 species
CCUACGGGCGACAGCAGUGAGGAAUAUUGGGCAAUGGACGAGAGUCUGAACCAGCCAAGUAGCGUGAAGGAUGACUGCCCUCUGGGUUGUAAACUUUGUUUAUAAAGGAAUAAAACGAGGCACGUGUGCCUUUUUGCAUGUACUUUAUGAAUAAGGAUCGGCCAACUCCGCGCCAGCAGCCGCGGUAAUACGGAGGAUACGAGCGUUAUCCGGAUUUAUUGGGUUUAAAGGGAGCGUAGAUGGGUUGUUAAGUCAGUUGUGAAAGUUUGCGGCUCAACCGUGAAAGUGCAAUUGAUACUGGCAGUCUUGAGUACAGUUGAGGUAAGUGGAAUUCGUGGUGUAGCGGUGAAAUGCUUAGAUAUCAGGAAGAACACCGGUUGCGAAGGCAACUUACUAGACUGUAACUGACAUUGAUGCUCGAAAGUGUGGGUAUCAAACAGGAUUAGAUACCCGUGUAGUC